rnacentral:rRNA from 1 species
CGGGGAAUUUUGGACAAUGGGCGCAAGCCUGAUCCAGCCAUGCCGCGUGCGGGAAGAAGGCCUUCGGGUUGUAAACCGCUUUUGUCAGGGAAGAAAUCUUCUGAGUUAAUACCUCGGGAGGAUGACGGUACCUGAAGAAUAAGCACCGGCUAACUACGUGCCAGCAGCCGCGGUAAUACGUAGGGUGCAAGCGUUAAUCGGAAUUACUGGGCGUAAAGCGUGCGCAGGCGGUUUUGUAAGACAGAGGUGAAAUCCCCGGGCUCAACCUGGGAACUAGCCUUUGUGACUGCAAGGCUUGAGUGCGGCAGAGGGGGGAUGGAAUUCCGCGUGUAGCAGUGAAAUGCGUAGAUAUGCGGAGGAACACCGAUGGCGAAGGCAAUCCCCUGGGCCUGCACUGACGCUCAUGCACGAAAGCGUGGGGAGCAAACAGGAUUAGAUAGCCCUGGUAGUCCACGCCCUAAACGAUGUCAACUGGUUGUUGGGAAGGUUCCUUCUCAGUAACGUAGCUAACGCGUGAAGUUGACCGCCUGGGGAGUACGGCCGCAAGGUUG